GAUGAACGCUGACAGAAUGCUUAACACAUGCAAGUCAACUUGAAUUUGGGUUUUUAACUUCGGUUUGGGUGGCGGACGGGUGAGUAACGCGUAAAGAACUUGCCUCACAGCUAGGGACAACAUUUGGAAACGAAUGCUAAUACCUAAUAUUAUGAUAAUAGGGCAUCCUAUAAUUAUGAAAGCUAUAAGCGCUGUGAGAGAGCUUUGCGUCCCAUUAGCUAGUUGGAGAGGUAACGGCUCACCAAGGCGAUGAUGGGUAGCCGGCCUGAGAGGGUGAUCGGCCACAAGGGGACUGAGACACGGCCCUUACUCAUACGGGAGGCAGCAGUGGGGAAUAUUGGACAAUGGACCGAGAGUCUGAUCCAGCAAUUCUGUGUGCACGAUGAAGUUUUUCGGAAUGUAAAGUGCUUUCAGUUGGGAAGAAACAAAUGACGGUACCAACAGAAGAAGUGACGGCUAAAUACGUG
rnacentral:rRNA from 1 species